rnacentral:rRNA from 1 species
UACGAAGGGGGCUAGCGUUGUUCGGAAUUACUGGGCGUAAAGGGCGCGUAGGCGGUGUGUCAAGUCAGGCGUGAAAGCCCCGGGCUCAACCUGGGAACAGCGCUUGAGACUGGCACGCUCGAGUUCGGGAGAGGAUGGUGGAAUUCCCAGUGUAGUGGUGAAAUGCGUAGAUAUCGGGAGGAACACCAGUGGCGAAGGCGGCUUCUGGCCUGUUCUUGACGCUGAGGCGCGAAAGCUAGGGGAGCGAACGGG